AACAAAGGAAUUGGUAUAAUAUAAUAUUAUUUUGUACUAUUUAAGCUUCACGGAUUAAGUGUGUUCACUCUAUUUCAUAUAGGUUUAGUAUUAGUUUAGAGGGGCACAAGUUUAUUGGCAUUGUAAUUUACGUSUUAAAUAAAAUCUUUAUUAUUAUAUUUAAGCUUACUUUGAAAAGCUUAAAUCAGUAUCAAUAAAAUUUUACUUUUCUGAACUAAA